rnacentral:rRNA from 1 species
AUGUGUGAAAAGCCCCACUGUCGCAAGAAUAGACAAAGAAAAGGGGAAGGAGAGGAGAAGGAGAAUGAGAAAGAGAGGAGCUUGGUCUCCAUUAUGAAGACUAAGCCGCCUGCCCCAGGAAGCAGAAGGGGAAGGGCAAGGGCUGUGUCGCUGCCAAGGAAGCGGGCCAAGGAUUACGGCAAUGUCCCGCUCGCCGAGUUGUUAUUACGGGCAAUGGAGCAUGAUAGGCAAGUAGAGAAGGAUUAUGAAGAGGAGGAAGAGAAUGAGGAGGAAGAGGAUGACUAA